rnacentral:ncRNA from 1 species
GGUAAGUGCGCGAGAGAGUCCUCUGUACUGAACGCCAGCGCAGAGGCACCGAAGGGGCAAGGCCAAAAGGCUGAAACUCUCAGGUAAAAGAAUCGCACAUCUUAG